rnacentral:rRNA from 1 species
UAUUAAAGUUGUUGCGGUUAAAAAGCUCGUAGUUGGUCCUGCGUCCCACGCUGUCGGUUCACCGCCUGUCGGUGCAACUGGCACGCCGUGGGAUGUCCUGCCGGUGGCGGCCGCGGCCCGGCGGGCGGGGCGUAAGAUCCGGAACGGGUCCGAAGCCCCCCCCCGGGAAUCGCCGGUCGCCUAUCUAAUCCCGCCGCGGUGCUCUUAACUGAGUGUCGAGGUGGGCCGGCACGUUUACUUUGAACAAAUUAGAGUGCUCAAAGCAGGCUGAACUCAGCCUGAAUAGUGGUGCAUGGAAUAAUUGAAUAGGACCUCGGUUCUAUUUUGUUGGUUUUCGGAACCCGAGGUAAUGAUCAAUAUGGACAGGCGGGGGCAUUCGUAUUGCGGCGUUAGAGGUGAAAUUCUUGGAUCGUCGCAAGACGCACUAAAGCGAAAGCAUUUGCCAAGUAUGUCUUAGUUGAUCAAGAACGAAAGUUAGAGGUUCGAAGGCGAUCAGAUACCGCCCUAGUUCUAACCAUAAACGAUGCCAGCCAGCGAUCCGCCGAUGUUCCUCCGAUGACUCGGCGGGCAGCUUCCGGGAAACCAAAGCUUUUGGGUUCCGGG